GACGAACGCUGGCGGCGUGCUUAACACAUGCAAGUCGAACGGAAAGGCCCUGCUUUUGUGGGGUGCUCGAGUGGCGAACGUGUGAGUAACACGUGAGUAACCUGCCCAUGACUUUGGGAUAACUUCAGGAAACUGGGGCUAAUACCGGAUAGGAGAUCCUGCUGCAUGGUGGGGGUUGGACCGUUUCGGCGGGUGGGGAUGGACUCGCGGGUUACCAGCUUGUUGGUGGGGUAGUGGCCUACCAAGGAUUUGACGGUUAGCCGGCCUGAGAGGGUGACCGGCCACAAUAGUACUAAGAGACGGACCAGUCUCCUACGGGGGGCAGCAGUAGAGAGUAUGGCACAGUGAGCGGAAGCCUGAUGCAGCAGCCCCGCGUGCGGGAGGACGGCCUUCUGGGGGUCAACCGCUGUCGCUUGUGACGAAGCGUGAGUGACGGUAAUGGGUGAAUAAGCACCGGCUAACUACGUG
rnacentral:rRNA from 1 species